GUGCCUAAUACAUGCAAGUCGAACGCGUUGGCCCAACUGAUUGAACGUGCUUGCACGGACUUGACGUUGGUUUACCAGCGAGUGGCGGACGGGUBAGUAACACGUAGGUAACCUGCCCCAAAGCGGGGGAUAACAUUUGGAAACAGAUGCUAAUACCGCAUAACAAUUUGAAUCGCAUGAUUCAAAUUUAAAAGAUGGCUUCGGCUAUCACUUUGGGAUGGACCUGCGGCGCAUUAGCUUGUUGGUAGGGUAACGGCCUACCAAGGCUGUGAUGCGUAGCCGAGUUGAGAGACUGAUCGGCCACAAUGGAACUGAGACACGGUCCAUACUCCUACGGGAGGCAGCAGUAGGGAAUCUUCCACAAUGGGCGCAAGCCUGAUGGAGCAACACCGCGUGAGUGAAGAAGGGUUUCGGCUCGUAAAGCUCUGUUGUUAGAGAAGAACGUGCGUGAGAGCAACUGUUCACGCAGUGACGGUAUCUAACCAGAAAGUCACGGCUAACUACGUGCCAGCAGCCGCGGUAAUACGUAGGUGGCAAGCGUUAUCCGGAUUUAUUGGGCGUAAAGCGAGCGCAGGCGGUUUGAUAAGUCUGAUGUGAAAGCCUUUGGCUUAACCAAAGAAGUGCAUCGGAAACUGUCAGACUUGAGUGCAGAAGAGGACAGUGGAAC
rnacentral:rRNA from 2 species